UACGUAGGUGGCAAGCGUUGUCCGGAUUUACUGGGCGUAAAGGGAGCGUAGGCGGAUGUUUAAGUGGGAUGUGAAAUACCCGGGCUCAACUUGGGUGCUGCAUUCCAAACUGGAUAUCUAGAGUGCAGGAGAGGAAAGUGGAAUUCCUAGUGUAGCGGUGAAAUGCGUAGAGAUUAGGAAGAACACCAGUGGCGAAGGCGACUUUCUGGACUGUAACUGACGCUGAGGCUCGAAAGCGUGGGGAGCAAACAGGAUUAGAUACCCUGGUAGUCCACGCCGUAAACGAUGGAUACUAGGUGUGGGGGAUUCGAUUCCUCCGUGCCGCCGUUAACACAAUAAGUAUCCCGCCUGGGGAGUACGGUCGCAAGAUUAAA
rnacentral:rRNA from 1 species